CACGUAGGGUGCGAGCGUUGUCCGGAUUUACUGGGCGUAAAGGGCGCGUAGGCGGCCACUGCAAGUCAGUUGUGAAAUCUCCGGGCUUAACUCGGAAAGGUCAACUGAUACUGCAGGGCUAGAGUGCAGAAGGGGCAACUGGAAUUCUCGGUGUAGCGGUGAAAUGCGUAGAUAUCGAGAGGAACACCUGCGGCGAAGGCGGGUUGCUGGGCUGACACUGACGCUGAAGCGCGAAAGCCAGGGGAGCGAACGGG
rnacentral:rRNA from 1 species